rnacentral:rRNA from 1 species
UAGGGAAUCUUCCACAAUGGACGCAAGUCUGAUGGAGCAACGCCGCGUGAGUGAAGAAGGUCUUCGGAUCGUAAAACUCUGUUGUUAGAGAAGAACACGAGUGGGAGUAACUAUUCAUUCGAUGACGGUAUCUAACCAGCAAGUCACGGCUAACUACGUGCCAG